rnacentral:rRNA from 1 species
UACAGAGGUCUCAAGCGUUGUUCGGAUUCAUUGGGCGUAAAGGGUGCGUAGGCGGCGCGGUAAGUCGGGUGUGAAAUCUCGGGGCUUAACUCCGAAACUGCAUUCGAUACUGCCGUGCUUGAGGACUGGAGAGGAGACUGUAAUUUACGGUGUAGCAGUGAAAUGCGUAGAUAUCGUAAGGAAGACCAGUGGCGAAGGCGAGUCUCUGGACAGUUACCGACGCUGAGGCACGAAGGCCAGGGGAGCAAACGGG